CAGCUUCUGAAAGCAUGGGGCAUCUGCGGAAGAACUGGGUUGUUUCCCAGCUUUCGUCCCUGCGGAGGGGCGAUCCGGCCCCUCCAUGUCAGCAGUGUUUGGUCGUCCACAUGCUUGUCAGCCCCACGCUGUGCUCCUGCGUCUCUUCCCGUCUCAUCCAUCUGGAUGCUUGACACCUCUGACAGCAUCCCUUUCCUGUCAUCUUAGGGCAGCUUCAGGAAACCGAAAAACAGGCUUGUGUCCUUCCAUUAACCCCUUUAUCCACAAGUUCAGUAUCAGCAUGAGCCCUGGGGAGCUCCAAGGCUGCAGCCAGGAGCCCCGUAGCCAGGGAUGGUCCUGGCUGUGCUGCUGCACCAGGGCCGCCUUCCCCACCUUUUCCAGAGGAACCUGUUCUACGGCCAGAAGAACAAGUACCGAGCACCCCGAGGGAAGCCGGCCCCGGCCUCAGGGGACACCCAGACCCCUGCAAAGGGGUCCAGUGUCCGGGAGCCUGGGCGCAGUGGUGUUGAGGGGCCACAUUCCAGCUGAGUGGCCUUGCUCUGUGUGAGCCCCGUGCGAGGGCCCUGCUUGUAGCUGGACCCUGGAACCUUCUGUAGCUAAGAGGGAAUCCUGGCCCCCUCCCCAGAAGCCAUUUGUCAAUAAACCAUUUC
rnacentral:lncRNA from 1 species